rnacentral:ncRNA from 1 species
ACCAUGAACUUUUGUCUCAUUGUUUAUUAAUAAAUGAGGCUGUCAACUGUCUCCUUUUUAUAAAAAUCGGUUUAUGAAUUGCAUUUUUUUUAUUAUUUUGUGGGAUUUUACGGGAUGAACCAAAAGUUGAAUUACUAUGCCUAACUGCGUAGAUCCCACAAAGGGUGUUGGUCAAUUAAGAUAGCAGGACAGUGGUCAUGGAAGUUGAAAUCCAUUAAGAAGUGUGUAAUAACAACUCACUUGUUGAAUCAACUAGCCCUGAAAAUGGAUGGCGCUGAAUUUGCGACCUAUACCUGGCCGUCGUGGCAAGAGCCAGGCCCUGAUGAGUAGGAGGGCGCAGUGGUCGUUGCAAAACCUUGGGCAUGAGCUUGGACGGAGCUAUCGUCGGUGCAGACCUUGGUGGUAGUAACAAAUAUUCAAAUCUUGUGGCUUUUGGUGUUAGGAGACUCAUUAUACUUGCACUUCAUACAUUUAUUGUGUGUUAUC